CGGGGUGUGGCGCAGCUUGGUAGCGCGCAGCGAUCGGGACGCUGAGGUCGUGGGUUCGAAUCCCGCCACCCCGAC
rnacentral:tRNA from 1 species